rnacentral:snRNA from 1 species
GGAUGUGAGAGUGAUCUGGUUGCCACAUCUGUCACCCUGUUGAUCGCCAGGGUUGAUACAGCUGCUCUGACUGGGUGGUGGGUGUCCCCUUCCUCCCUCACCGCUCCAUGUGCAUCCCUCCCGAUGCUGCGUGCUCAGAGAGGAUGACCUUCCCCACCCUCCCCGAAUCGUCAGGGGUGUACCAGUAGGUGCGCUCCCCUGCUAGAACCUCCAGACAAGCUCUCAAAGUCCAUUUGUAGGAGAAAUAGGGUAGUCAAGCUUCCAAGACCUUAGACACAUCCAAAUAAAGCAUUACAUGUGGCAGUUCGCCUUUCUUU